CAGGGCCUGACACAUGCAAGUCGAGCGGUGGGGCUCUUUCGAGAGUACCGAGCGGCGAACGGGUGAGUAACACGUGAGCAAUCUGCCCUUCACUUCGGGAUAACUCCGGGAAACCGGUGCUAAUACCGAAUACGACCACUUCAGGCAUCUGAUGGUGGUGGAAAGUUCCGGCGGUGAAGGAUGAGCUCGCGGCCUAUCAGCUUGUUGGUGGGGUAAUGGCCCACCAAGGCAACGACGGGUAGCCGGCCUGAGAGGGUGACCGGCCACACUGGGACUGAGACACGGCCCAGACUCCUACGGGAGGCAGCAGUGGGGAAUAUUGGACAAUGGGCGAAAGCCUGAUCCAGCAACGCCGCGUGAGGGAUGACGGCCUUCGGGUUGUAAACCUCUUUCACCUAUGACGAAGCGCAAGUGACGGUAGUAGGAGAAGAAGCACCGGCCAACUACGUGCCAGCAGCCGCGGUAAU
rnacentral:rRNA from 1 species